AAAGUGACAGGUAAACUGUCCUCAGACUGUAAAGUGACAGAUAAACUGUCCUCAGACUGUAAAGUGACAGAUAAACUGUCCUCAGACUGUAAAGUGACAGAUAAACUGUCCUCAGACUGUAAAGUGACAGGUAAACUGUCCUCAGACUGU